AGCUUGCUGGGUGGAUUAGUGGCGAACGGGUGAGUAACACGUGAGUAACCUGCCCUUGACUCUGGGAUAAGCGUUGGAAACGACGUCUAAUACCGGAUACGAGCUUCCACCGCAUGGUGAGUUGCUGGAAAGAAUUUUGGUCAAGGAUGGACUCGCGGCCUAUCAGCUUGUUGGUGAGGUAAUGGCUCACCAAGGCGACGACGGGUAGCCGGCCUGAGAGGGUGACCGGCCACACUGGGACUGAGACACGGCCCAGACUCCUACGGGAGGCAGCAGUGGGGAAUAUUGCACAAUGGGCGAAAGCCUGAUGCAGCAACGCCGCGUGAGGGACGACGGCCUUCGGGUUGUAAACCUCUUUUAGCAGGGAAGAAGCGAAAGUGACGGUACCUGCAGAAAAAGCACCGGCUAACUACGUGCCAGCAGCCGCGGUAAUACGUAGGGUGCAAGCGUUGUCCGGAAUUAUUGGGCGUAAAGAGCUCGUAGGCGGUUUGUCGCGUCUGCUGUGAAAUCCCGAGGCUCAACCUCGGGUCUGCAGUGGGUACGGGCAGACUAGAGUGCGGUAGGGGAGAUUGGAAUUCCUGGUGUAGCGGUGGAAUGCGCAGAUAUCAGGAGGAACACCGAUGGCGAAGGCAGAUCUCUGGGCCGCUACUGACGCUGAGGAGCGAAAGGGUGGGGAGCAAACAGGCUUAGAUACCCUGGUAGUCCACCCCGUAAACGUUGGGCGCUAGAUGUGGGGACCAUUCCACGGUUUCCGUGUCGUAGCUAACGCAUUAAGCGCCCCGCCUGGGGAGUACGGCCGCAAGGCUAAAACUCAAAGGAAUUGACGGGGGCCCGCACAAGCGGCGGAGCAUGCGGAUUAAUUCGAUGCAACGCGAAGAACCUUACCAAGGCUUGACAUAUACGAGAACGGGCCAGAAAUGGUCAACUCUUUGGACACUCGUAAACAGGUGGUGCAUGGUUGUCGUCAGCUCGUGUCGUGAGAUGUUGGGUUAAGUCCCGCAACGAGCGCAACCCUCGUUCUAUGUUGCCAGCACGUAAUGGUGGGAACUCAUGGGAUACUGCCGGGGUCAACUCGGAGGAAGGUGGGGACGACGUCAAAUCAUCAUGCCCCUUAUGUCUUGGGCUUCACGCAUGCUACAAUGGCCAGUACAAAGGGCUGCAAUACCGUAAGGUGGAGCGAAUCCCAAAAAGCUGGUCCCAGUUCGGAUUGAGGUCUGCAACUCGACCUCAUGAAGUCGGAGUCGCUAGUAAUCGCAGAUCAGCAACGCUGCGGUGAAUACGUUCCCGGGCCUUGUACACACCGCCCGUCAAGUCAUGAAAGUCGGUAACACCCGAAGCCAGUGGCCUAACCGCAAGGAUGGAGCUGUCUAAG
rnacentral:rRNA from 1 species